AGCGAACGCUGGCGGCAGGCUUAACACAUGCAAGUCGAGCGCCCCGCAAGGGGAGCGGCAGACGGGUGAGUAACGCGUGGGAACAUGCCCUUUGGUUCGGAAUAACUCAGGGAAACUUGAGCUAAUACCGGAUAAGCCCUUUUGGGGAAAGAUUUAUCGCCGAAGGAUUGGCCCGCGUCCGAUUAGCUAGUUGGUGUGGUAACGGCGCACCAAGGCGACGAUCGGUAGCUGGUCUGAGAGGAUGAUCAGCCACACUGGGACUGAGACACGGCCCAGACUCCUACGGGAGGCAGCAGUGGGGAAUAUUGGACAAUGGGCGCAAGCCUGAUCCAGCCACGCCGCGUGAGUGAUGAAGGCCCUAGGGUUGUAAAGCUCUUUCGCCUGGGAAGAUAAUGACGGUACCAGGAGAAGAAGCCCCGGCUAACUUCGUGCCAGCCGCCGCGGUAAGAC
rnacentral:rRNA from 1 species